rnacentral:rRNA from 1 species
UCAGUAACACGUAGCUAACCUACCCUUAGGACGUGGAUACCCCCGAGAAAUUUGGGGUUAAUCGCGAUAGGUGUAAUGUCCUGGAAUGGUAUUACGCCUAAAAGGUGUAUCAUACAUGUUUUGAUAUACGCCUAAGGAUGGGGCUGCGGCCGAUCAGGCUGUUGGUGAGGUAAUGACUCACCAAACCUUUGACCGGUACGGGCCAUGAGAGUGGUAGCCCGGAGAUGGACACUGAGACAAGGGUCCAGGCCCUAAGGGGCGCAGCAACCGCGAAACCUCCACAAUGCACUCACGUGCGAUGGGGCUAUCUCGAGUGCCACCUGAUGAAGGUGGCUUUUCCUAGGUCUUCAAAGCCUUGGGAAUAAGAGGGGGGCAAGACUGGUGUCAGCCGCCGCGGUAACACCAGCCCCUCGAGUGGUGGGGAUGAUUAUUUGGCCUAAAGCGUCCGUAGCCGGCCGGAUAAGUUUCCCGUUAAAUCUAACGUCUCAAGCGUUAGGCUGCGGGAAAUACUGUCUAGCUAGAGAGUGGGAGAGGUCAGCGGUAUUCUGGGGGUAGGGGCGAAAUCCUUUGAUCCCCGGAGGACCACCAGUGGCGAAGGCUGCUGACUAGAACACGUCUGACGGUCAGGGACGAAAGCUGGGGUAGCGAACCGGAUUAGAUACCCGGGUAGUCCCAGCCGUAAACGAUGCAUGCUAGGUGUUGGGUUGGCCACGAGCCACCUCAGUGCCGCAGGGAAGCCGUUAAGCAUGCCGCCUGGGAAGUACGAUCGCAAGGUUGAAACUUAAAGGAAUUGGCGGGGGAGCACCACCAGGCGUGAAGCCUGCGGUUUAAUUGGAGUCAACGCCGGG